CCCCCAUGGAGACUUCCGCAACCGUCACGCCUACAAGGCGGGGCCAAGGGAGGCGCCUGGAGACCUGAGAUCUGGAUGGGCGGUGCUCUCACUUGGUUCCGGGACCUUGGACGGUGAAGGUGGGCCAAGCAGAGCUCCAGAGAACACCGCUGGACUGCGAUACACCUUCCCCAGACCCCGCGACCUACCGAUCCCUUAACUUGCGUGACGGUUGCCGAAGUCUCAAUGGGGGUUGAAACUUCCAGAUCAAAGCUGGAAUGGCUACCCACUACAGACGGAGAAUUUUGAAUCAAAAGUGGACCCACAGUAGAUGGCAGGGGUACAAUCAAAACUUGUAUAAGAAAAACUUAGGGGUAUUGGAAAGAACUGCCCAAAUGAGAGCGUCUCCAAGCAUUGGCUGUGCUUGCUGUUGUCAAAGGAAACAACUCAGAAAUAGAAAUUCCAGUUGAGGAGUCCUGAAAUUAUGAAAUCCUGAGUGGAAACACUCCUUGCCAGAUUUAUCAUCUUCCAUAAGGUAUGCUUUUAAGUAUCUUUUCCAUAGAAAUUGAUUGAUUAGCUGGAAUUAAGUCAGUAGAACUGUAAUCAUUACUAAGUUGUAAAAGUGCCCUGAUGUCUUCAAUAACUGAGUCAUCUAUUAUUACACUUCAGCAUAUAGAUAUUGUAGUAUUAAUGUUUUGUAUGUAUAUUAUCUAUACUAUCAAUUGGAGGUGCUAAAGCUUUUUCAUAAGAAAUGCUUUAUCGUUUAUAUAUCUUAUGGGUUGCAAAAUAUUACAACUGCUUUGCAAGUAAUUGAGGAACUUUAAAGAAAAUUUACAGACUCUGUGAUUAUAUUUAUAUGUCUCCCAGAAAAAGACAAAAUCUAAGGACAGAACUCUGAGCAGUGGGUUCCAUGGGUGCGGUGGGGCAAUGGUUUGGUAUCAAAGAAACAUGCCAGCUGUGUUAGGAGAUGGGAUGCUUUACUCCUCCGCUGAGGUGGUGGAAACAGUUCUGUCACAAUUGUUCACUCAUACAUCUAAGGGGAAAUUUAUACAUGAAUAUUCUGAUAUCACCUGGAUUGUUAAAAGCAUUAUACAAAGAAUAAAGUGAAAACUACCUGUUACUUCAUCCCUCAGAAAUAUUAGCUAUCAAUAUUCUCCUUCUUGUGGUUAUUCUAGGGUUAGGUUACAUCAACACAUAUUUUUCUUUUCUUUUUCUUUUUUGCUUUUUCAAGGCAAGGUUUCUCUGUGCAAGUAUUAGCUGUCCUGGAAUUCGAUUUGUACACUAGGCUGGCCUCAAACUCACAGAGAUUCGCCUGCCUCUGUCUCACAAGGGCUGGGAUUAAAGACGUGCACCACCACUGCCCUGCUAACAUGUAUUUUUCUAAAAAAAAAAAA